rnacentral:tRNA from 1 species
UCAUUAGAUGGCUGAAUGUAAGCAAUGGAAUUUUAAACCAUUUUAUGAUAGCUAACAAUUAUCUCUAAUGAA